GACGAACGCUGGCGGCGUGCUUAACACAUGCGAGUCGAACGGAAAGGCCCUGCUUUUGUGGGGUGCUCGAGUGGCGAACGGGUGAGUAACACGUGAGUAACCUGCCCUUGACUUUGGGAUAACUUCAGGAAACUGGGGCUAAUACCGGAUAGGAGCUCCUGCUGCAUGGUGGGGGUUGGAAAGUUUCGGCGGUUGGGGAUGGACUCGCGGCUUAUCAGCUUGUUGGUGGGGUAGUGGCUUACCAAGGCUUUGACGGGUAGCCGGCCUGAGAGGGUGACCGGCCUCAUUGGGACUGAGAUACGGCCCAGCCUCCUACGGGAGGCAGCAGUGAGGAAUAUUGCACACUGGGCGGAAGCCUGAUGCAGCAACGCCGCGUGCGGGAUGACGGCCUUCGGGUUGUAAACCGCUUUCGCAUGUGACGAAGCGUGAAUGACGGUAAUGGGUAAAGAAGCACCGGCUAACUACGUG
rnacentral:rRNA from 1 species